AGCCUAUUAAAAAAAAUCAAUAGCUAUGUUGAGUGUAUCAUUAAAUAACUCUGAUUCAAUCAGUUGACGUUUAUUUACGUAAUAGCCCAGCUCACUACGCAUAACUAGAGCCUUUUGUGGUUUAACAAUACGUAACAAAUGCGGUUAAACCUGUAUUACUGGUUAUUUGUAGGAGUUUCACAUUGCGAGAGUAGUCUGUUAAAGCGUAGGAGCAGGAAACUUCGCUUCUCUUAAGAUAAGACCUCACACACCUCUCAGGAAGGAUUUACAGAGAGAGACACAUGUUGUACAUAUUAGGGAUUACCAUUGGCCUCAUUUGCAUCAUUAUAUGCAUUUCAAAUGGCCUAAAAGAGAGAAAUGCUUUGAUGCGCAGAAAUAAAGGUGGAAAUCCUCAAAAUCCUGAACACAAGGAAGCCAACAAGAAAAAGUUUCUUCUGCAGUUAACUGAACAAGACUAUCACUUGUUGGCCAAAGUCCUGUCAGUUGGAUUGGUAGACGCAGACCCCAAUUAUCUUCAACACCUCAAGAACUACAGGGACCUGCGUGGUAGCACUUCCUGAAGGAUCCACACACCAGGAAAUGCACCAGGAAAUGUACGGCACAGUUAUUUCUGGAGCCAAUCAUAUUUGGUAGUUGUCACAGUUGUCAUUGGAGUGAUGUGCUGCCCUUUUAUUUUAUUUGUUGAUUGAUGAAUAAUGUAAUGAUUAGUUAUAAAACUGCACAUUUGAUCUAUUUGUCCCAUGGCAAAAUGCUGAUUACAUUUAUUUUAAAAAGAACAACUAUCUUCAUGAAACAUAAACAGCAUAGGUUUAAGUCAUUUCAAUCUCUUUAAAUACUUUUGGUAAAGUAUCAUAUCACUGUUUUCCCACAAUAUCUUAGAGGCAGAUUUGUUAGUUAGAAACAAUGUCGUCAGAGGACAGUACAUAUCCCAAGACCCUGUGUGCAAUAUCUAUUCAUACACAUACAGUAUUUAUUGAGGUAUGUUGGGGAAAUCGGAGUGACAACAAUGCAUCAGGCCCUGGUGGUUUGAAACAGGAACAUGGGCUGAAUUCACAAAAGGUUGGUGGCACCUUAAUUGGGGAAGACGGGCUCCUGGUAAUGGCUGGAGCGGAAUAAUUGGAAUGAUAUCAAACACAUGGUUUUUAUUUUUUUUAACCUUUAUUAAACCAUUAUUUAACUAGGCAAGUCAGUUAAGAACAAAUUCUUAUUUUCAAUGACGGCCUAGGAACAGUGGGUUAACUGCCUGUUCAGGGGCAAAAUGACAGAUUUGUACCUUGUCAGCUCGGGGGAUUGAACUUGCCUCCUUCUGGUUACUAGUCCAACACUCUAACCACUAGGCUACCCUGCCACCCCAUUACUAUAUAACCCCUUUACUCCACUUCUGGUCACCAUAUUUGGUACACUACGGUUUGUUUGGCCACAAAUGUGAAGGUUAAGGCCUUUACUGCUUUGUUCUUCGGAAGCACAUGUGAGAAGGACAUUGCCAUCCGGAAAUACUCAUGCAUUUUUUAUUUCCCGAGUUGAGAUUUUAAUACUGCUGACAGUCUGAGGGUUGAUCUUCCCAUCGUAUCCGCCUGAAAACCGCAUAUGGACUUUAAAGUCGAGCUCUGUAGCCCUACUCACCACUGUAGUCUUGGGGCUCAAAGCAAGUUUCCUUUGCUUUGCUUCUUGUCCUUGCUCAUUUUCAUAGCUACUGCGUUGGCUGCGAGAUGAUAUUUUUUUACACUUGCUUCACACUCAGUGGCAACUUUAGCAUGUAAAUCUUGGUGGGGCAAACUAAAAUAAAACAUGUUUUUAUGCAUGUCAGCAAAGCCACUACACAGCACUAAACAAUACAUUAAUUGCACUAUAACUGAUAAAUGGUGCCCACAAAAUGUUAGGGUCUACAUAAAGCUGUCCCAACAGCAGAGUUCUCUUUUCAGCACCAGGUAGGCUUGUGGUUAGAGCGUUGGACUGGUAACAGAAAAGUUGCUAGAUCAAAUCCCUGAGGCGACAAGGUAAAAAUUUGUCAUUCUGCCCCUGAACAAGGCAGUUAACCCACUGUUACUAGGCCGUCAUUGAAGGUAAGAAUUUGUUCUUAACGGACUUGUGUCGCGGAAAUUCAGUACGGAGAGAGACUUGGUCUUGGUCAUUUCUUCAAACAAUCUUUAUUUGAUAUCUAUUAAUUAUUGCAAUAAUGAGACCAUCAGCCCACCAGUCUUGCCUGACUGUUAGGCUGAGAGCAUUGCCUUUACAGACGAUGCACAGUUUUUAUAUAGCUGAUACCAAGAUUGCUUAGUCAGUCACUUCUAACCUUCCCAUAAGCCACCUUGGUUUUCUACACAGGAUGGUCUUUUACUUCGUUUCCCAGAUGCCAGGAAGAUGAGACAAUGAGGCAUUGUUCUUAACUCUUCCAGGCUCUCUCUAUCUUGAGUCACACACACCAGAUCUUGUCUAUAGAAUGCUAGCUUUUAUCACCAACACUAUCACAUGAGUUGGAGAGACGAAGCAGGUACCGUGAGUAACAUUUAAUACAUAACGGACAUAUAACAAGACAAGCACAGCGUCAGCAAACAAACUAAGACAAAAGACAAUCAAUGCAGCAGCGGGAAAUAGAGCUGGGGAACUGACAAAUAUAGGGGAGGAAAUAAGUGAGUCCAGGUGAGUCAGAUAACGCUGAUGCGCGUGACGAGGGAAGGCAGGUGUGCGUGAUGGAUGGCAGGAGUGCGGAUGCAGGGUAAUCUGGCACCCUCAAGCGCCAGGGGAAGGGAAGAGCGGGAGCAGACGUGACAGUACCCCUCCCUCUUGGGACUCCACCCAGCGUCCCAGCUGGGCGAACCGGCCGAGAUAUGGGUGCUGGGCAAGUCGGUCGGUGCUUGAAAACCCGAUAACCCGGCAGGAGCGCGAGAGCCUGGCGAUCCGGCUGAGGCAAGACGACUGCCGAUACCGCAGUAGAAGGGGAGCCCGAUGAUCCAGUGGAGUGUGACGUGGGAUGGGAAGCCGCCAAGCCAGAAAACCUCUCGAGCCAGCCAGGGCGUGAGAAAGGGGAAGGGAAUGCUGGCUUAGGCAUCCCCGGUUCCAUCGGCGGUAGGAUCCAACCCGAUGUCACCAAAACAAAAGACAAAAAGUCCUGGACCAGCCGGGCAAACAAGAACUGACGAUCCAGCUGAGGCCCGACGUGGGAUGGACGCCCUCCGAGCCAACUGGGGCAAGGAAACCUCUCGAGCCAGCUAGGGCGUGAAAGCCUGAUGAGCUGGCUAGGCGACCAAGAGCCGCUGCCACCAUUCCAACCGGAACGCCAGUACUCCCCGAUGCUUCGUAUGUGGCUGCUGCAUUCUGUCACAUGUAUUGAUGCUAGAGAGACGAAGCAGGUACGGGGAGUAACGAGACAGGCACAGCGUCAGCAAACAGAAACUAAGACAAAGACAAUCAAUGCAGCAGCAGGGAACAGAGCUGGGGAAAUGUCAAAUAUAGGGGAGGAAAUAAACAGUCCAAUAACGCUGAUGCGUGUGACGAGGGAAGGCAGGUGUGCGUGGUGGAUGGCAGGAGUGCAUGAUGCAGGGUAAUCUGGCGCCCUCCAGCGCCAGGGGAAGGGAAGAGUGGGAGCUGACGUGACAAACACAAGUCAAUUGUGAGCUUCAAGCUAUCUCUAGUAGAACCCAUGUCCUCAACACCCAGACUGGCUGCAGGGUGCUAGAGUGGAGACCAUACAACACUGCAUUAGCAGGACAGAAAUAUAUUACUGUUUGUUAAGUAAAUAAUUGUUACAUAGACAACAAAUAAGGUGAACACAUAAUUUUUCCCUCACACUUGCUUAGUUAAAUAAAGGUAAAAUAUAUUAAAACAUUUUUAUAUAAUAAUAAAAAUAUAUAUUUUUCAUUUACUGCCUUUAAAAAAAACAUAGCUAAGAUGGCUGACUUGCUUAAUCAAAUGUGGUUUCUUCUGACAAUUGAGAUGUACAAACGAUGGCAUAAUGGAACGAUGAGAGGAUAAGAGGCAAUCCACAAUUUCAAUUAAGACAAUGUCUAUUUGUUCAGCACUUUUGAAAUGAACAGCGACAGAAUUCAGAACAUGGGCCAUUCUUACAGUGUU
ensembl:lncRNA